rnacentral:rRNA from 1 species
ACGGAAGGCAGCAGUGGGGGAUAUUGCACAAUGGGGGAAACCCUGAUGCAGCAACGCCACGUGUGGGAAGAAGCAUUUCGGUGUGUAAACCACUGUCGUGAGGGAAUAAUGCUUAAUUUCGGUUAAGUUGAAUGUACCUCGAAAGGAAGCACCGGCAAACUUCGUGCCAGCAGCCGCGGUAAUACGGGGGGUGCAAGCGUUGUUCGGAAUCACUGGGCGUAAAGGGAGCGCAGGCGGAGAUGCAAGCAGUCUGUACAAUACCGGGGCCCAACCCCGGACCUGCAGACUGGACUGUUUCUCUUGGAUAGUUCAGGGGCAAGCGGAAUCCCUGGUGUAGCGGUGGAAUGCGUAGAGAUCAGGAAGAACACCGAUGGCGAAGGCAGUUUGCUGGGGACUUAUCGACGCUCAUGCUCGAAAGUGCGGGUAGCAAACAGGAUUAGAUACCCUGGUA